UACGUAGGGUGCGAGCGUUAAUCGGAAUUACUGGGCGUAAAGCGUGCGCAGGCGGUUCGUUGUGUCUGCUGUGAAAUCCCCGGGCUCAACCUGGGAACGGCACUCGAUACUGCGGAGCUCGAGUACGAGAGAGGGGGGUGGAAUUCCAGGUGUAGCGGUGAAAUGCGUAGAGAUCUGGAGGAACACCGGUGGCGAAGGCAGGUCUCUGGGCCGAUACUGACGCUGAGGAGCGAAAGCGUGGGGAGCGAACAGG
rnacentral:rRNA from 1 species